GAUGAACGCUGGCGGCGUGCCUAACACAUGCAAGUCGAGCGGAAGCACGGUAAGCGUGCUUUUCUGCUGUUAGCGACGGGCGGGUGAGUAACACGUGGAUACCCUACCUAUUUUUCUGGGAUGAUUACGGGAGGCCGUAUCCAAUACCGGAGCAUAUUUUGAACCGCAGGGUUCAAAAGAGCAUGGCGGUCUUGCUGACUCUAUUAGCUGGUUUCGCGCUGCAUUAGCUAGUUGGUAAGGUAACGGCUUACCAAGGCGACGAUGCGUAGCCGACCUGAGAGGAUGAUCGGCCACACUGGAACUGAGACACGGUCCAGACUCCUACGGGAGGCAGCAGUAGGGAAUAUUGGGCAAUGGGCGAAAGCCUGACCGAGCAAUGCCGCGUGAGUGAUGAAGGCCUUCGGAUCGUAAAGCCCUGUUAUUGGGGAAGAACAGAUGUAUGUGAAUAUGUGGCCGUCUUGACGGUACCUAAUCAAAAAGCACCGGCUAACUACGUG
rnacentral:rRNA from 1 species